GAAGCUAGGCUGGCACGCCCCUCGCUCUCUGUCUCUGCUAUCCUACUGUCCUCUCAGCCACACACACAAACACACGCACACCCGCAGUGCCCCGAACCCAGUCUUAUUCCCACACCUUCUCCGCGCGUCGUGCUGUGGACACCCGCCGCCAGCCAUGUAAAGGCAACGCAAGGCAGCACUCGGGGACAGAGGGUGCCAGGACGUGAGUGCGUGAGAGCCGUGGCGGCACCAGGCAACCCAGACGAAAUCGUGAACUUCGUGGCAUCAGUGUGAUUCACUAGCCAUGGGGACGUGGGCGGUCUGGGCGGUGUUGCUCAUGCUGGCAGGGCUCGUGAGCGGCCAGGCCAGGGACACACGCCCACUCAUCAGACCUCCUCCGGAGGUCGUGGGGCCAGAGGGCAUGGAGGAGAUCCCGGAUGAGGCUUUCUUCGUCGACACCGUCAGGAGAAACGAGCUGAGUGAAAACGAGACUCCCGGCGUAGACGAGAGAAGAGGUGGAGGAGGAGGAGGAGGAGGAGGAGGAGGAGGAGGAGGAGGAGGAGGAGGGGGAAGAGGAGGAGGAAGAGGG
rnacentral:lncRNA from 1 species